rnacentral:sRNA from 1 species
CAGACAACUCUGGAGAGUGAAGUUCUUCAUUUAUCCUCAGCACCAAUACAGCAUGGAUAGCAGCACUGCACACUCCCCCUGCCUCUAUGCUGCUCUCUGCCAAUGUGUCACAAACCAGACCUGUAGGGACUACCUUUAGGGGUGAAAUGGAGUUCUAGCUCCAUAGCCCAUUCAGUCCUUGGUCACU